rnacentral:lncRNA from 1 species
AUUGCAUAACGUGCUACACACACCCCUUCUUUGAAAUCCUACUAAUCUUUCUCUUUGUCCCAAGUCCCACCAUAGUACUGCAAGAGUCUAACUCUAAUACCACUCUAUCAUGGAUCAAGCUCGACAACCAACAUAUUAUUCGCUUUGGCCUAACCACUAGAGUAACUCAAAACUUUACUACAAACUGAAAAAGCACCUCAAUAUUUGAAUUUACAGUUAAUCGCUUUUCGAAGUCAUUUGUUUGCGAGCUAUUACGCCUACCUUGUUCCAUUAUUCACGGACAAAUAUAUAUCGCAAAAAAAGAGAGAUAACAAAUUACGUACGGGUUAGCUUCUUUCUUUUUGCUUUUCUAGUUGUAUUUUAGUGAGGACUCCCACGAAGCCUCCUUACGAAGUUACCACAACUUUUAGAAAGUGCCAAGUGACACCCCAAUAAGGAGGAACUCUCUUUUAUUGUUAUUUUUUUAAUAGUAAUGUCAGAACUCUUGAAAUGUGCUUCUUGAAUUUUCCGUUCCGCUCACAGUUAUAUAUUGCACAAGGAGUUAGAUACUAGCCAAGUUUUGAAUAACAUGUUUGAUGGGUUUUGCAGUAUUUUAACCUUAAGUUUUGAUGAUCUAACAAAUUUAUUAUUAAAGAAUCAGAUAAGGAAUUUGAUACACUUGAUAUACAAUUCAAAUCAAUAGACUUCAGCUAAUAUGAGUUGCUAUGACUUCAGAAGAUAAAAAAUCAACACAGGCCUGAUUCCCUUGUGUUUUCCUAACAGCAGUACGAAGUCAACUGUUUAUAGCUGAAAAGUGACUAUCAGCACUAUACAGC